GUAUAAGAGACAGCAGUCGCCGCGGGAAAACGGAGGGUGCAAGCGUUAAUCGGAAUUACUGGGCGUAAAGCGCACGCAGGCGGUCUGACAAGUCAGAUGUGAAAUCCCCGGGCUUAACCUGGGAACUGCAUUUGAAACUGUCAGGCUGGAGUCUUGUAGAGGGGGGUGGAAUUCCAGGUGUAGCGGUGAAAUGCGUAGAGAUCUGGAGGAAUACCGGUGGCGAAGGCGGCCCCCUGGACAAAGACUGACGCUCAGGUGCGAAAGCGUGGGGAGCAAACAGGAUUAGAUACCCGUGUAGUCCCUGUCUCUUAUAC
rnacentral:rRNA from 1 species